rnacentral:rRNA from 1 species
UGGGGAAUAUUGGACAAUGGGCGAAAGCCUGAUCCAGCCAUGCCGCGUGUGUGAAGAAGGUCUUCGGAUUGUAAAGCACUUUAAGUUGGGAGGAAGGGCAGUAAGCGAAUACCUUGCUGUUUUGACGUUACCGACAGAAUAAGCACCGGCUAACUCUGUGCCAGCAGCCGCGGUAAUACAGAGGGUGCAAGCGUUAAUCGGAAUUACUGGGCGUAAAGCGCGCGUAGGUGGUUCGUUAAGUUGAAUGUGAAAGCCCCGGGCUCAACCUGGGAACUGCAUCUGAAACUGGCGAGCUAGAGUAGGGCAGAGGGUGGUGGAAUUUCCUGUGUAGCGGUGAAAUGCGUAGAUAUAGGAAGGAACACCAGUGGCGAAGGCGACCACCUGGGCUCAUACUGACACUGAGGUGCGAAAGCGUGGGGAGCAAACAGG